GGCCUGGCUGGCCGGUCCGCCUCACCGCGUGUACUGGUCUGGCCGGGUCUUUCCUUCUGGAGAACCUCAUGCCCUUCAGUGGGUGUGUUGGGGAACCAGGACUUUUACUUUGAAAAAAUUAGAGUGUUCAAAGCAGGCAUUUGCUCGAAUACAUUAGCAUGGAAUAAUAGAAUAGGACCC
rnacentral:rRNA from 1 species